CGGAGGGGGGGCCGCUUACUAGCAGUCGAGCGAACUGAUUAGAAGCUUGCUUCUAUGACGUUAGCGGCGGACGGGUGAGUAACACGUGGGCAACCUGCCUGUAAGACUGGGAUAACUUCGGGAAACCGAAGCUAAUACCGGAUAGGAUCUUCUCCUUCAUGGGAGAUGAUUGAAAGAUGGUUUCGGCUAUCACUUACAGAUGGGCCCGCGGUGCAUUAGCUAGUUGGUGAGGUAACGGCUCACCAAGGCAACGAUGCAUAGCCGACCUGAGAGGGUGAUCGGCCACACUGGGACUGAGACACGGCCCAGACUCCUACGGGAGGCAGCAGUAGGGAAUCUUCCGCAAUGGACGAAAGUCUGACGGAGCAACGCCGCGUGAGUGAUGAAGGCUUUCGGGUCGUAAAACUCUGUUGUUAGGGAAGAACAAGUACAAGAGUAACUGCUUGUACCUUGACGGUACCUAACCAGAAAGCCACGGCUAACUACGUGCCAGCAGCCGCGGUAAUACGUAGGUGGCAAGCGUUAUCCGGAAUUAUUGGGCGUAAAGCGCGCGCAGGCGGUUUCUUAAGUCUGAUGUGAAAGCCCACGGCUCAACCGUGGAGGGUCAUUGGAAACUGGGGAACUUGAGUGCAGAAGAGAAAAGCGGAAUUCCACGUGUAGCGGUGAAAUGCGUAGAGAUGUGGAGGAACACCAGUGGCGAAGGCGGCUUUUUGGUCUGUAACUGACGCUGAGGCGCGAAAGCGUGGGGGAGCAAACAGGAUUAGAUACCCUGGUAGUCCACGCCGUAAACGAUGAGUGCU
rnacentral:rRNA from 2 species